UACGUAGGGGGCAAGCGUUGUCCGGAUUUACUGGGCGUAAAGGGCGCGUAGGCGGUCAGCACAAGUCAGUUGUGAAAUCUCCGGGCUUAACCCGGAAAGGUCAACUGAUACUGUGCGACUAGAGUGCGGAAGGGGCAACUGGAAUUCUCGGUGUAGCGGUGAAAUGCGUAGAUAUCGAGAGGAACACCUGCGGCGAAGGCGGGUUGCUGGGCUGACACUGACGCUGAACUGCGAAAGCUAGGGGAGCGAACGGG
rnacentral:rRNA from 1 species